UUCUUUUAAAAAGAACUAUAAGAUUUUUCAGAAGAAAAAAAAGAAAGAAAGUGAGACAUGUCCAUAACACAACACAAAUGAUCCAUAGCAGUCUCUAUGAGGCAAAUGGUAAAUUCCUCUUCUUAUUCACAACCAUAUAUGGGAUGAAUCAACUUGAGCAGAGGAAACACCUAUGGAAAGACAUCAAGAGGAUACACCAACACCAAAUUGGGCCUUGGAUAUUAAUUGGGGACUUUAACAAUAUCUUGAAAGAAAAAGAUAGAGUAAGAGGUAGAAGAGUGCAUGAGACUGAAUACAAAGACAUGGUAGAAAUGAUGGAUCGGGUAGGGCUAUUUGAGUUGGAUAGCACUGGUGAUUACUAUACAUGGAGUAACAAACAAACAAAUGAGUCCAUUUACACCAGAAUUAAUAGAGGCAUUGGAAAUGUUGAAUGGAUGCAUAAUAACCAGGAUUUGCACUUGAAAGUCAUGACCCCUAGAAUUUCUUACCAUGCCCUUCCAUACAUCCAUCAACAAGAUCCAUACCAAACAAGGCAGAGCAACUUUAAGUUCCUUAACAAUGUGACUGAUAUGAAGGGGUUCAAGGAGGCAGUGGCAACCAGUUGGAACAAACACAUCACAGGUACCCCCAUGGUCAAGUUAUGGGGUAAACUGAGGAGAUUGCAGCCAGUGGUGAGAAAGAUGGGAAGGGAGAGUAUUGGUGUCAAACUGAAGCUAGUUGAAGAUAGAAGUGAACUGAACAAUCUUCAAUUGGAACUGAUAAAUGACAGACUGAAUGCUCAGCUUAUGGGAAAAAUUCUAAAGUGCACAAAAGAAGUUAUUAGGUUGAAUGAGAUAGAAGAACAUAUGCUAAAGCAUAAAUCAAAGAUCAAGUGGUUGAGACUAGGGGAUGGUAAUAAUGCAUACUUCUAUGUAUCCCUCAAAUCCAAAUACAGACAAAACAAUAUGCACAAUAUUGUUAUGGAAGAUGGAUCAAGAGCUGAAACUCAAGAGGAUAAUGAAAAGGAAGUGCUCAGGUUCUAUAGUGGACUGACGGGAACAAGUGAGAACAACCUUGAAGGGAUUAAUAUUAAUGCUAUGAGAGAUGGGAAGCAAUUGAGCAAUGACCAAAAAGAGAUGCUGGGGGCUCCAGUUAUAGUUAUGGAAAUGGAAAGAGCUCUGAAGGAUAUCCAUAACCAAAAAUCUCCAGGGCUGGAUGGUUAUGGUGCAAAAGUUUUCAAGAGUGCUUGGGAUAUAGUAAAAGAUGAUGUCAAGGAGGCUAUCAAAUAAUUCUUUGAACAAGGGAAAAUUUUCUUGGAGUGGAAUUGUACCCUAGUAACUAUGAUCCCUAAAGGACCUGAUGUAAGAGCCAUCAAGGAUCAUAGGCCCAUCUCUUGAUGUUCUACUAUGUAUAAAAUGAUUUCAAAAAUUCUAGCAAAUAGGCUGAGCAGAGUCCUAAACAGUAUUAUCAGCAUAUACAUGACCAUAUCCUACUGGAAUAUGAGCUCCUCUAUGGUAACAAUAGGAAACAUGGUACUCCAAGAUAUAUGCAGUAAUUUGAUAUUCCGAAGCCAUAUGAUAUCAUUGAUUGGAGGGCUCUGGAAACUAUACGAAGGAAGUUGGAAUCCCAAAGAAGUUCUGCAGAUGGAUCAUGUUGGCAGUAGAAACUAUAUCCUACAGGUUUUGUGUUAAUGGCCAAAUCACUAAGAGUAUAAGAGCCAAAAGGGGGUUGAGACAAGGUGACCCUAUCUCCCCCCUUUUUUUUGUUAUAGUCAUGGAAUACCUUUAUAGAUGCCUUCAAAAAGUUGGAAAGAACUAUCACUCCAAGUGUGAAAAACUGGAAAUUAUUGACUUAUGCUUUGCUAAUGAUCUUUUAAUGUUUACAAGAGGAGAUACAAAAUCUGUGGAAUUAAUAAUUGAGGCAUAUAACACUUUCUCCAAUUCCACAGGGUUGAAAGUAAAUCCUAUAAAGUGUAGUGCUUACUUUAGUGUAGUAGAGGAACAUGAUAAGAAGGCAAUUAUGGGAAUAACUAAUUUUAAAGAAGGGAGGUUACCUUUCAGGUACCUUGGGGUGCCCUUGACAGGGAAAAAACUAACUGUUCAGAACUAUAACCCUCUGAUUGAAAAAAUGAUGAGUAGACUAAAUCACCGGAGUGCUAGACUGUUAAGUCAUGCAGGUAGAGUGCAGUUGAUCAAGAGUGUCUUGAAUGCUAUGACUACCUAUUGGAUGAAAUGUUUCCCUCUUCCAAAGGAGGUGAUUCAUAAGAUAGAGGCUAUGUGUAGGAGGUUCUUAUGGACUGGCAGGAAUGAGAAGAGUAAGAAGGAACCAGUGGCAUGGAAAGUUGUGUGUACUCCUCAGAACAAAGGGGGCCUGAAUAUUUUAUCCUUGGAAGAAUGGAACAAAACUCAUAUGAUAAGGCUGCUAAUGAACUUGAGUGGGAAGGAGGAUAAUAUUUGGAUAAGAUGGGUACAUUGUUAGUAUCUGAAAAAAGAUAAGCUAAUGGAGGUUCAACCUAGAGCCAACAACACCUGGAUUAUGAAAUGCAUACUUAAACAAAGAGAGUCUGUGUUGGGAUUGCAGAGUUGGAGUAUCUGCUUGCAGUAAGCUAGUUUUAGUACUCGCAUAGUAUAUCUUGAACUGAAUAAUAGAGGUCAAGUUGUAGAGUGGAGAAGUAGUAUGUACAACAACUUGGCAAGGCCGCUUAGCAACAAAACAGAGAUUACAGAAGUUUGGUGUUGUGUUGGAUGGCAAGUGCUAUUUUUGUGAUAAGGAUGAGACCAUACAACAUCUCUUGUUUUGCUAUAAUAUUUUCAAGAAAGAUUGGAAGAAAGUUUUGGCUUGAAUGCAUAUUAACAGAGAGCCGCUUAAAUGGGAUCAAGAAUUCAAUUGGAUAACAAGUCAGGGUAAAGGGACUUAGGUGGGUCGGUGGAUCCAAAAAUUAGGAAGCACAUUGCUUUCCUAAUGAUGACUUAGAUGGAUCUUUUAGUAUCUGCGUUUUUGUGGUGGCUGGAUCUGAAACGAUCGCCGUGUAUAUAUAUAUUUUUUUGAAUUAAUGAGAAUCUCUUUAUUAAAAAAAUAAAAUAAAAUUUGAUAAAAAAAAAAAAUAAAUAAAACAAGAGAAAUAUCAAAAACAUAUAAAGUAAAAAGAGGGAAAAGUAGGAUGCGUUCACGCUUCUCUUUCUUGACUUAGAGACAUGAACAGAAAACAGGAUGACAAGAAUCUUUCCGUCAGACACUCCAACUCUCCAACCAUGGCGGAGAGGGUGGACACGGUUGCAAGAUUAGCACAGUGGAAAAUCGACAAUUUUGGACCUUCUUCCUACAAAAAAUCCGAUCCUUUCAAACUCGGAAUCUGGAACUGGCACUUUGCAAUAGUAAGGAAUAGGUUCUUCUCCAUUCAUCUUUUUCCAGAACCUUCUCGUGUUUCUAAGGAACACCCACCCGUUGCUAGAUUCAUUCUUCGUGUCUCCGUUGCUGGUUCAUCUCGCAAGUUUAUUAUUUC